rnacentral:rRNA from 1 species
CAGUAGCCGCGGGAAUACGUAGGGUGCGAGCGUUAAUCGGAAUUACUGGGCGUAAAGCGUGCGCAGGCGGUUCGUUAAGACAGACGUGAAAUCCCCGGGCUUAACCUGGGAACUGCAUUUGUGACUGGCGAGCUAGAGUAUGGCAGAGGGGGGUAGAAUUCCACGUGUAGCAGUGAAAUGCGUAGAGAUGUGGAGGAAUACCGAUGGCGAAGGCAGCCCCCUGGGCCAAUACUGACGCUCAUGCACGAAAGCGUGGGGAGCAAACAGGAUUAGAUACCCCCGUAGUCCCUGUCUCUUAUAC